rnacentral:rRNA from 1 species
AUGGCCACCACCAGCAAGCAGGCUCUAGCUCUCGCUUCUCUCUUGAUCCUUCUCACUGGCACCCACAUCAUUGUUGCCGCAAGAGCCCCGGUCACUGUAACUGGCAUUGGUGCUAGAGGAGGCGGCUACGGUGGUGGUGGAGGUAGAGGGGAAGGUGGUGGAAGUGCCAGCUACGGUUAUGGCUACGGUUCACGCUAUGGAGGCCGUUAUGGCUAUGGCGGAGGCAUUGGUGGUGGUGGCAAUUGGGGAGGUAGCGGUGACAUGGGCUCAGGGUACGGCUCAGGUUACGACAGUGGUUAUGGCUCAGGUUACGGUUCUGGUGGUCAAGGUGGCGGGGGAGAUAGUGGAGGAGGUGACCGCGGAUCCGGCUAUGGCAAUGGCGGUGGAUAUGGGUCUGGGUAUGGAGAAGGCCACGGGUCAGGUGGUGGCAUGAACGGUGGCAGUGGAGGAGGAGGCGGUAGAGGGGGAGGUGGUCAUGGCAUGAAUGGUGGCGAUGGAGGAGGCGGCAGUAGAGGGGGAGGUGGUGGUGGCAUGAACGGCGGCGGUGGAGGCGGCAGUGGUGGUUUUGGUUACACGCCAUCUCCAAUCCUCAUCCAAUUUCACCCAUUUUGCUUCAAAAAAGUUGGAAUUCACUUUGCGCUUCCAUUCACAAAAAUGUAUCUACCAUCGCAGGCAGCUGAAAUCCUCUAA